rnacentral:sRNA from 2 species
CUAAGGUUCGAUUCGAGCGAAAGCGAGAAAGCGUUGCCAACGGCAACGACCCGAAGGGCGAAGCGCGCAGCGCUGAGUAAUCCUUCCCCCACCACCA